UACGUAGGGUGCAAGCGUUGUCCGGAAUUAUUGGGCGUAAAGCGCUUGUAGGCGGUUUGUCGCGUCUGCUGUGAAAUUUCGGGGCUCAACCCCGAACUUGCAGUGGGUACGGGCAGACUAGAGUGUGGUAGGGGAGACUGGAAUUCCUGGUGUAGCGGUGAAAUGCGCAGAUAUCAGGAGGAACACCGGUGGCGAAGGCGGAUCUCUGGGCCGUAACUGACGCUGAGGAGCGAAAGCAUGGGGAGCGAACAGG
rnacentral:rRNA from 1 species